CCUACGGGGGGCAGCAGUGGGGAAUAUUGCACAAUGGGCGCAAGCCUGAUGCAGCCAUGCCGCGUGUAUGAAGAAGGCCUUCGGGUUGUAAAGUACUUUCAGCGGGGAGGAAGGCGAUGCGGUUAAUAACCGCGUCGAUUGACGUUACCCGCAGAAGAAGCACCGGCUAACUCCGUGCCAGCAGCCGCGGUAAUACGGAGGGUGCAAGCGUUAAUCGGAAUUACUGGGCGUAAAGCGCACGCAGGCGGUCUGUUAAGUCAGAUGUGAAAUCCCCGGGCUUAACCUGGGAACUGCAUUUGAAACUGGCAGGCUUGAGUCUUGUAGAGGGGGGUAGAAUUCCAGGUGUAGCGGUGAAAUGCGUAGAGAUCUGGAGGAAUACCGGUGGCGAAGGCGGCCCCCUGGACAAAGACU
rnacentral:rRNA from 1 species